rnacentral:rRNA from 1 species
GUGUCAGCCGCUGCGGUAAGACGUAGGGGGCGAGCGUUGUCCGGAAUUACUGGGCGUAAAGGGCGUGUAGGCGGCCCUUCAAGUCGGCUGUGACAGCCCCCGGCUCAACCGGGGGAUUGCAGUCGAAACUGGGGGGCUUGAGUGCAGGAGAGGAGGGUGGAGUUCCCGGUGGAGCGGUGAUAUGCGUAGAUAUCGGGAGGAACACCGGUGGCGAAGGCGACCUUCUGGCCUGUUACUGACGCUGAGGCGCGAAAGCCGGGGGAGCAAACAGGAUUAGAUACCCUGGUAGUCCCGGCCGUAAACGCUGGGUACUAGGUGUAGGGGGCUUUGAUGCCUUCUGUGCCGUAGUUAACGCAUUAAGUACCCCGCCUGGGGAGUACGAUCGCAAGGUUGAAACUUAAAUGAAUUGACGG